UGGGGAAUUUUGGACAAUGGGCGCAAGCCUGAUCCAGCCAUGCCGCGUGCGGGAAGAAGGCCUUCGGGUUGUAAACCGCUUUUGUCAGGGAAGAAAUCUUCUGAGUUAAUACCUCGGGAGGAUGACGGUACCUGAAGAAUAAGCACCGGCUAACUACGUGCCAGCAGCCGCGGUAAUACGUAGGGUGCAAGCGUUAAUCGGAAUACUGGGCGUAAAGCGUGCGCAGGCGGUUUUGUAAGACAGAGGUGAAAUCCCCGGGCUCAACCUGGGAACUGCCUUUGUGACUGCAAGGCUUGAGUGCGGCAGAGGGGGAUGGAAUUCCGCGUGUAGCAGUGAAAUGCGUAGAUAUGCGGAGGAACACCGAUGGCGAAGGCAAUCCCCUGGGCCUGCACUGACGCUCAUGCACGAAAGCGUGGGGAGCAAACAGGAUUAGAUACCCUGGUAGUCCACGCCCUAAACGAUGUCAACUGGUUGUUGGGAAGGUUCCUUCUCAGUAACGUAGCUAACGCGUGAAGUUGACCGCCUGGGGAGUACGGCCGCAAGGUUGAAACUCAAAUGAAUUGACGGGGUCAUAGCUGUUUCCUG
rnacentral:rRNA from 1 species